CCUACGGGAGGCAGCAGUGGGGGAUAUUGGACAAUGGGGGAAACCCUGAUCCAGCGACGCCGCGUGAGUGAAGAAGUAUUUCGGUAUGUAAAGCUCUAUCAGCAGGGAAGAAAGAAAUGACGGUACCUGAGUAAGAAGCCCCGGCGAACUACGUGCCAGCAGCCGCGGUAAUACGUAGGGGGCAAGCGUUAUCCGGAAUUACUGGGUGUAAAGGGAGCGUAGACGGUAAUGCAAGUCUGGAGUGAAAGGCGGGGGCCCAACCCCCGGACUGCUCUGGAAACUGUGUAACUGGAGUGCAGUGGAGGCAGGCGGAAUUCCUGGUGUAGCGGUGAAAUGCGUAGAUAUUAGGAGGAACACCAGUGGCGAAGGCGGCCUGCUGGACUGUAACUGACGUUGAGGCUCGAAAGCGUGGGGAGCAAACAGGAUUAGAUACCCUGGUAGUC
rnacentral:rRNA from 1 species